UUAAGUUAUUAAGGGCGCACGGUGGAUGCCUUGGCACUAGAAGCCGAUGAAGGACGUUACUAACGACGAUAUGCUUUGGGGAGCUGUAAGUAAGCUUUGAUCCAGAGAUUUCCGAAUGGGGAAACCCAGCAUGAGUUAUGUCAUGUUAUCGAUAUGUGAAUACAUAGCAUAUCAGAAGGCACACCCGGAGAACUGAAACAUCUUAGUACCCGGAGGAAGAGAAAGAAAAUUCGAUUCCCUUAGUAGCGGCGAGCGAAACGGGAAGAGCCCAAACCAACAAGCUUGCUUGUUGGGGUUGUAGGACACUCUAUACGGAGUUACAAAGGACGACAUUAGACGAAUCAUCUGGAAAGAUGAAUCAAAGAAGGUAAUAAUCCUGUAGUCGAAAAUGUUGUCUCUCUUGAGUGGAUCCUGAGUACGACGGAGCACGUGAAAUUCCGUCGGAAUCUGGGAGGACCAUCUCCUAAGGCUAAAUACUCUCUAGUGACCGAUAGUGAACCAGUACCGUGAGGGAAAGGUGAAAAGCACCCCGGAAGGGGAGUGAAAUAGAACCUGAAACCGUGUGCUUACAAGUAGUCAGAGCCCGUUAAUGGGUGAUGGCGUGCCUUUUGUAGAAUGAACCGGCGAGUUACGAUUUGAUGCAAGGUUAAGCAGUAAAUGUGGAGCCGUAGCGAAAGCGAGUCUGAAUAGGGCGUUUAGUAUUUGGUCGUAGACCCGAAACCAGGUGAUCUACCCUUGGUCAGGUUGAAAGUUCAGGUAACACUGAAUGGAGGACCGAACCGACUUACGUUGAAAAGUGAGCGGAUGAACUGAGGGUAGCGGAGAAAUUCCAAUCGAACCUGGAGAUAGCUGGUUCUCUCCGAAAUAGCUUUAGGGCUAGCCUCAAGUGAUGAUUAUUGGAGGUAGAGCACUGUUUGGACGAGGGGCCCCUCUCGGGUUACCGAAUUCAGACAAACUCCGAAUGCCAAUUAAUUUAACUUGGGAGUCAGAACAUGGGUGAUAAGGUCCGUGUUCGAAAGGGAAACAGCCCAGACCACCAGCUAAGGUCCCAAAAUAUAUGUUAAGUGGAAAAGGAUGUGGCGUUGCCCAGACAACUAGGAUGUUGGCUUAGAAGCAGCCAUCAUUUAAAGAGUGCGUAAUAGCUCACUAGUCGAGUGACACUGCGCCGAAAAUGUACCGGGGCUAAACAUAUUACCGAAAGCUGUGGAUUGUCCUUUGGACAAUGGUAGGAGAGCGUUCUAAGGGCGUUGAAGCAAUGAUCGUAAGGACAUGUGGAGCGCUUAGAAGUGAGAAUGCCGGUGUGAGUAGCGAAAGACGGGUGAGAAUCCCGUCCACCGAUUGACUAAGGUUUCCAGAGGAAGGCUCGUCCGCUCUGGGUUAGUCGGGUCCUAAGCUGAGGCCGACAGGCGUAGGCGAUGGAUAACAGGUUGAUAUUCCUGUACCACCUAUAAUCGUUUUAAUCGAUGGGGGGACGCAGUAGGAUAGGCGAAGCGUGCGAUUGGAUUGCACGUCUAAGCAGUAAGGCUGAGUAUUAGGCAAAUCCGGUACUCGUUAAGGCUGAGCUGUGAUGGGGAGAAGACAUUGUGUCUUCGAGUCGUUGAUUUCACACUGCCGAGAAAAGCCUCUAGAUAGAAAAUAGGUGCCCGUACCGCAAACCGACACAGGUAGUCAAGAUGAGAAUUCUAAGGUGAGCGAGCGAACUCUCGUUAAGGAACUCGGCAAAAUGACCCCGUAACUUCGGGAGAAGGGGUGCUCUUUAGGGUUAACGCCCAGAAGAGCCGCAGUGAAUAGGCCCAAGCGACUGUUUAUCAAAAACACAGGUCUCUGCUAAACCGUAAGGUGAUGUAUAGGGGCUGACGCCUGCCCGGUGCUGGAAGGUUAAGAGGAGUGGUUAGCUUCUGCGAAGCUACGAAUCGAAGCCCCAGUAAACGGCGGCCGUAACUAUAACGGUCCUAAGGUAGCGAAAUUCCUUGUCGGGUAAGUUCCGACCCGCACGAAAGGCGUAACGAUUUGGGCACUGUCUCAACGAGAGACUCGGUGAAAUCAUAGUACCUGUGAAGAUGCAGGUUACCCGCGACAGGACGGAAAGACCCCGUGGAGCUUUACUGUAGCCUGAUAUUGAAAUUCGGCACAGCUUGUACAGGAUAGGUAGGAGCCUUUGAAACGUGAGCGCUAGCUUACGUGGAGGCGCUGGUGGGAUACUACCCUAGCUGUGUUGGCUUUCUAACCCGCACCACUUAUCGUGGUGGGAGACAGUGUCAGGCGGGCAGUUUGACUGGGGCGGUCGCCUCCUAAAAGGUAACGGAGGCGCUCAAAGGUUCCCUCAGAAUGGUUGGAAAUCAUUCAUAGAGUGUAAAGGCAUAAGGGAGCUUGACUGCGAGACCUACAAGUCGAGCAGGGUCGAAAGACGGACUUAGUGAUCCGGUGGUUCCGCAUGGAAGGGCCAUCGCUCAACGGAUAAAAGCUACCCCGGGGAUAACAGGCUUAUCUCCCCCAAGAGUUCACAUCGACGGGGAGGUUUGGCACCUCGAUGUCGGCUCAUCGCAUCCUGGGGCUGUAGUCGGUCCCAAGGGUUGGGCUGUUCGCCCAUUAAAGCGGUACGCGAGCUGGGUUCAGAACGUCGUGAGACAGUUCGGUCCCUAUCCGUCGUGGGCGUAGGAAAUUUGAGAGGAGCUGUCCUUAGUACGAGAGGACCGGGAUGGACAUACCUCUGGUGUACCAGUUGUCGUGCCAACGGCAUAGCUGGGUAGCUAUGUGUGGACGGGAUAAGUGCUGAAAGCAUCUAAGCAUGAAGCCCCCCUCAAGAUGAGAUUUCCCAACUUCGGUUAUAAGAUCCCUCAAAGAUGAUGAGGUUAAUAGGUUCGAGGUGGAAGCAUGGUGACAUGUGGAGCUGACGAAUACUAAUCGAUCGAAGACUUAAUCAA
rnacentral:rRNA from 1 species